AGUGAACGCUGGCGGUAGGCCUAACACAUGCAAGUCGAACUGCAGCACAGUAAGAGCUUGCUCUUACGGGUGGCGAGUGGCGGACUGGUGAGGAAUACAUCGGAAUCUACUUUUUCGUGGGGGAUAACGUAGGGAAACUUACGCUAAUACCGCAUACGACCUACGGGUGAAAGCAGGGGAUCUUCGGACCUUGCGCGAUUGAAUGAGCCGAUGUCGGAUUAGCUAGUUGGCGGGGUAAAGGCCCACCAAGGCGACGAUCCGUAGCUGGUCUGAGAGGAUGAUCAGCCACACUGGAACUGAGACACGGUCCAGACUCCUACGGGAGGCAGCAGUGGGGAAUAUUGGACAAUGGGCGCAAGCCUGAUCCAGCCAUACCGCGUGGGUGAAGAAGGCCUUCGGGUUGUAAAGCCCUUUUGUUGGGAAAGAAAAGCAGCAGGUUAAUACCCCGCUGUUCUGACGGUACCCAAAGAAUAAGCACCGGCUAACUUCGUG
rnacentral:rRNA from 1 species